rnacentral:lncRNA from 10 species
CCAACAUAUCCCCAUGACUCAUCCUCUCAUGUUUGUUGGGGCUAUUAUUUAAAAGUUGGUUUUUUUCAUGAGAGCUCUCCUGGCAGCUGCUAUGGGUUGAACUCUGCCCAAAAAAAGAUACGUUGAAGUCGUAAUCCUCAACAGCUCAGAAUGUAAUCUUAUUUGGGAAUAGGAUAACUGCAGGUAUAAUUAGUUAAGAUGAGGUUGUACUGCAUUAGGGUGGGUCCCUAUGUCAAUAUGACUGGCCCUUGUAAGAAACUGACCAUGUGAAUACAGACACACAGAGACAGCACCUUGCAUGGGACAAUGAAGGUGAAAUUAUGCUACUGCAAGCCAAGGAAUAUGAAAGAUUGCCAGCAAACCACCAGAAGCUAGGAUGAGCCUGAAGCCCUCACUAGAUGCAGACCCUGGCGCCAUGUUUCUUGAAUAAUCUGCAGAACUGUCUCCAGGAUCUCCAGUGAGUUCAAGAAGAACAGGACAUUUCCAAGGCCUUGCAAAGGGGGUUGCUGUCAUUGGAUUUCUAAGAAAAUUGGCCCAAUUAUAUGUCUGGGCACUUCCCUAGACUGCAGAAGUCAGUAGAAAAGGAGGAGGGGAACAAAGGAAAGAUCAAGAGAAACAGGCAAAGAAGGCCUUAUUGCUUUGUGGUCAUAAAGAGAGAGACAUGUUAGUUGGCUUCACGCUUCUCAUUGGGUAAAGUGGUUGUGCAAUUUGGCUUGAUAUCUACUCAGCUAACAAAAAUAUAUCUAUUGUGUUCUAAGACUGCAAAGCACUCUUUGUGAAAUAUAUGAUACUAUAAUAAGCUGUACUAUUUUGCUGGCAAUAAGCUUCAAAACAAUUUACAAGCAUUUCUUUCUUCGUUCAGAACCACCUAGUAGUGAUGGAGGGAAAAUUACGUAAUUCCUCAAGAACCGUAUUUCAAAUCAAAAGGACUUAUUUAGACAAUGUCAACUUCUGUUUUGUUUAUUUCUUUUUUAAAGCAGCCUACUAUAUGAAAAAAAUCAAAGCUUUGGCAAUGUUUCUUUGAUAACUGAUCUAUCAUAAAAUGGAUAAAAAUAAAAGAAACAGCCAUUUGCAACUGACUGCAAUCAUGAUACAGCUGUUUUCUUUUUACAAGUAAAUAAAUCAAUGAACACAUAGUAGUUAAGGCUAUUGUGGAGCACAGUUCUAAGUGACUCUCCUACAGACAAGUUCAGCAAUUUUUCAACAUAUUUCCAUGGUCCAUUCUUAGCUAAAAAUCUCCACUUUUUUGCUCCUGCAAGCAGUCAUUCAACUAAUGAGUUUUAUGAAGACCUGUCGUUCAUUUGGCCUAUACUAAAGAAGUAAUUUAACAUUGCAUAAACAAAAAGAGGCUUUAACAAACACUAUAGGAAAAGAAAAUUCAUCCACCCAUAAAUUCAGUCCUUUACUCCUUACUAAAUGAAAUCUUCAGAUGAUAUAAUUUCUUUUCCAAUAUAGAGGCUGUUAUUUACUUUUGCGUUUAAAGGCUAGACAUUUUCUGCUUCUACUAUCUUUGAACAUUGCUAUAAUGUUAAAUAUUUGAGGAGUUGCCUCCGAACUUGCUGAUGAUAGGAAAUACUUCAAAGGGAGUCUGUUUCCUUCUAUAAAGGAAAAUA